rnacentral:rRNA from 1 species
GGGCCGCGCAGCGCAAUACUGCAGUCGAGCGAAUGGAUUAAGAGCUUCUCUCAUGAAGUUAGCGGCGGACGGGUGAGUACAUGUGGGUACCUGCCCAUAAGACUGGGAUAACUCCGGGAAACCGGGCUAAUACCGGAUAAAUUUUGAACCGCAUGGUUCGAAAUUGAAAGGCGGCUUCGGCUGUGACUUAUGGAUGGACCCGCGUCGCACUCGCCAGUUGGUGAGGAACGGCUCUCAAGGCAACGUUCGUAGCGGAUCUGAGAGGGUCAUCGGCCGCACUAGACUGAGACACGAUCCAGACUUAUACGGGAGGAGCUGUCGGGAAUCUUCCGCAAUGUACGAAAGUCUGACGGAGCAACGCGCGUGAGUAUGAGGCUUUCGGGUCGUAAAACUCUGUUGUUAGGGAAGAACAAGUGCUAGGUGAAUAAGCUGGCACCUUGACGGUACCUCAUCAGAUAGCCACGGCUAACUACGUGCCAUCAGCUGCGGUGAUGCGUAGGUCGCAAGCGUUAUCCCGUAUUAUUCGGGCGCAAGCGCUCGCAGUUUGUUUCUUAAGUCUCAUGUGACAGCCCACGCUCAUCCGUGAGCGUCAUUUGAACUGGAGACUUGAGUACAGAAGAGAAAGUGAUUCCAUGUGUGCGUGAAUGCGUGAGAUAUGGAGGACACAGUUGCGAUGCGACUUUCUGUCUGUAACUGACACUGAGGCGCGAACGCUGUGGAGCAACGGAUAGAUACCCUGUAGUCACGCCGUAAACAUAGUCUACGUUUAGAGGGUUCCGCCCUUAGGCUGAGUACGCAUUAGCACUCCGCCUGGGGUACGGCGCAGUUAAACUCAAGGAUGACGGGGCCCGACAGCGUGGAGCAUGGUAUUCGAAGCACCGAGACUUACAGGCUGGAUCUCUGAACCUAGAGAAGCUCUCCUCGGACGAGUCAGGUGCAUGUUUUGUCGCCUGUUCUGAGAAUUGGUAGUCCUCACAGCCACUGUACUUGUCCACUAUAAGUGGACCUUAGGGAGUCCGUGACUCCG